UACGAACCGUCCAAACGUUACUCGGAAUCACUGGGCUUAAAGGGUGCGUAGGCGGCCUUGUAAGUUGGGUGUGAAAUACCUCGGCUCAACCGAGGAAUUGCGCUCAAAACUGCAAGGCUUGAGGGAGAUAGAGGUGAGCGGAACUUAGGGUGGAGCGGUGAAAUGCGUUGAUAUCCUAAGGAACACCGGUGGCGAAAGCGGCUCACUGGGUCUCUUCUGACGCUGAGGCACGAAAGCUAGGGGAGCGAAGAGG
rnacentral:rRNA from 1 species